GGAGGGAUGGCCGAGCGGUUUAAGGCACCGGUCUUGAAAACCGGCGAGGAUGCAAGUCCUCCGUGGGUUCGAAUCCCACUCCCUCCGCCA
rnacentral:tRNA from 1 species